rnacentral:rRNA from 1 species
AUGAACGCUGGCGGCGUGCCUAAUACAUGCAAGUCGAGCGAACAGACGAGGAGCUUGCUCCUCUGACGUUAGCGGCGGACGGGUGAGUAACACGUGGAUAACCUACCUAUAAGACUGGGAUAACUUCGGGAAACCGGAGCUAAUACCGGAUAAUAUAUUGAACCGCAUGGUUCAAUAGUGAAAGACGGUUUUGCUGUCACUUAUAGAUGGAUCCGCGCCGCAUUAGCUAGUUGGUAAGGUAACGGCUUACCAAGGCAACGAUGCGUAGCCGACCUGAGAGGGUGAUCGGCCACACGGGAACUGAGACACGGACCAGACGCCUACGGGAGGCAGCAGUAGGGAAUCUUCCGAAAUGGGCGAAAGCUUGACGGAGCAACGCAGCGUGAGUGAUGAAGGUCUUCGGAUCUUAAAACUCUGUUAUUAGGGAAGAACAAAUGUGUAAGUAACUAUGCACGUCUUGACGGUACCUAAUCAGAAAGCCACGGCUAACUACGUG